AAGGAGGAUCAUUACAGAGUAAAGUCAUCAUCUCUUGACUUUGAAAUGAUGGACUUUGUUGUUGCAUCUGCCAAGGACAAAAAUUGGUUUUAUGUCAUUUCGCAGCCUAAGAAAUGCUGGACUUGUGAGCACAUUGAUGUAGCUUUCUACUAUCUCCAAAAAAAUUCAAAUCCAAACUGCCCAAUCAAUACAGAUACACAAUAACGAAUUGUCUGUUCAAAAGUUAUAUCAACAAUGCACAUGUGAGGUAUUAUCAAGGUGCUGCUGAUAACAAUCUUGAUACGUUGGAAGACAUAGUAAUUACGGCGUCUGUAUCUAAAUAGAAUCUUCUCUUCCAAACAUCAGCAAAGGAUUUUCCAUCCCGGCAGAUUUACCUUGGCAUCUAGUAGAUGAUGUAUACAUUCCUGUAAACUGCGAUGGAGAGUUCCAUUGGGUUCUUGCUGUGGUUGUUCUGAAACGUCGCCUAAUUUUUGUAUACAAUUCAUCAUUAGGCUCAAGAAAAAUAUAAUCGCCAGGCGAGAUAAAGAAAUUAUCCUUAAUGCUGCCAGUUUACCUGCAAGACAGUCUAUUCUAUGAGCAAACUGAAUGAAAUGAUUGGUCACCACUGAGUGCUUACAAGGAUAAGGAAAUCGACAGUUUUGGGGGACCAGAGCACCUGUUUUAAAAUCGAUUUUGUACAAGGGACUGCUGGUUAUAUGUGGCUGCAUUUGCUGAAUUCCUUAGCGAGGGGAUUUCAAUUUCCACUGAUGCGAUU